rnacentral:misc_RNA from 1 species
CCCAGCUGCUACUGAAUCAUUUGGCACACUGUCAGUGCCAUCGCCACCCGUGCGUCCGACACGAACUUUCAGGCUGCCAGUCGCCACAAUGACUUUCACCUGAAAGCGCCUUGGAGCGAGGCAAUGACGAUGCGCGGCUUGUGUUUCGGCGCAAUCGAUGUCCCAGAAAGGAUACAAAGAUCAGCUUCAGAAAGGAGGUGGGGCAUGCUGGUCUCAGAGGCUCGCUCUCUCCGGGGCUUUUGUAUACCUCCCUGCCCCAUCAUGGGGCGUCGGGCACUUGUGAAGCACAACAGUGUGCUAUGGUAAAAGUUCAGACGUGUGCAAGUCUCUCUCGCUACCAGUGUAGUCUUUUUUUUUCUAUGAAAGAUUGCAGUCGGCUGUGCAUGCGCAUGUGUGCUCGCAGUUUCGGAGCUGCAAGUUUUAGCAGGGGUCAAGAUCUUGAGGGGUGAUCUUGCCUGCACUCGGUUCUGGCCUUUAGAGGCUUCUGGGUCUUUGGUACUCAGCGCUGGUCUUGUCUUCCUUGGUGCCAGAUACUUGCAAGGCAGCCUUGUUUCUUCCACUGAGUACGAGGCCAGUGCGUGCGCGUAUGUAUAUGUAUAUAUUGUGUGUGUGCAUGUGUGCAGGAUGCGGUGAUGAAUUUCAGUGAGCGACGACUGUGCGCUUUUAAUGUGCUCUAUUUUGCUUUGUUGCAGCGCUCCAACAGCUGAAGCGGAGCGCGAUAGGAAGCAGCUUCCUUGUACACCCAGCGACUCAUUUUGCUGGUUGUGAGCGCGAUAUGACGGUGACUACGGCUGGUUCUAGUCAGGGUAGUGGGGCUGUGGGACGCACCUCUCAGUCACACUGCUGCCGAACAGCGUAAGUCAAGGCACUGCUGUAGACAGCACAGGAGUUCCGCAGAAUCGCAUGACACUCAAGUCUCACCUACGCUUAACGCCGCUGGAAAAGGAGGCUGCGAAGCAUAGGAGGGACGAGCGUUUGGUGCGAGCAAACCACAACGAACAGUGUUGACGCGGUAAUGUGCAGCAGGCCUAGCGCACAAUCCCCAUAACACGCACGGUAGCUUAGACACACAGGAGCGGGUACUCAGCUAUUGCCUCUGAUCGAUGCUUUUCACUAGAGAGCAUGAGGAUAACUGUGCUGACGUGUGCUCCGUUGACGCCGACUCUCAGACGAGAAGCUAUCUUCAACAGACGCACAAUAAAAGAGAAAAAAGGGCUGCGCUCUAUAUCACGCAGCAUCUGGGCAGUAGCGGCAGUGGUGCGUGCUCGCGGAGCGGCGUGUGAAGCGUACCGUGGAUUCCUUGCUCGAAGUGACGCGAGCAUAGGCGUCAACGCGGCACGCACACCAUACGUAGCGCCCAUCGCGUGCUGCUUUACUCCGAUCACUGUUACCGUUUCGAGAAACAGUUAGCUUGCACUUCACACGAAUAGGUGACCCUCCAUACACGUGUCUCUUUCUCCUACCUUCUCUCCUUCACCUUCUCUUUUUGUUAUUACACUUGGUACGUUAUCGAGCGGGCGCCUGCUCACUUGGCAUCGCGCAG